rnacentral:rRNA from 1 species
GAUGAACGCUGGCGGCGUGCUUAACACAUGCAAGUCGAACGAUGAAGCCCAGCUUGCUGGGUGGAUUAGUGGCGAACGGGUGAGUAACACGUGAGUAACCUGCCCUUGACUCUGGGAUAAGCCUGGGAAACUGGGUCUAAUACUGGAUAUGACUUCUCAUCGCAUGGUGGGGGGUGGAAAGAUUUAUUGGUCUUGGAUGGACUCGCGGCCUAUCAGCUUGUUGGUGAGGUAAUGGCUCACCAAGGCGACGACGGGUAGCCGGCCUGAGAGGGUGACCGGCCACACUGGGACUGAGACACGGCCCAGACUCCUACGGGAGGCAGCAGUGGGGAAUAUUGCACAAUGGGCGCAAGCCUGAUGCAGCGACGCCGCGUGAGGGAUGACGGCCUUCGGGUUGUAAACCUCUUUCAGUAGGGAAGAAGCGAGAGUGACGGUACCUGCAGAAGAAGCGCCGGCCAACUACGUG